rnacentral:lncRNA from 1 species
GCACGGUGGCUCAUGCCUGUAAUCCAAGCACUUUGAGAGGCUGAGGUGGGUGGAUCACCUGAGGUUAGGAGUUCGAGACCAGCCUGGCCAACAAGGUGAAAUGCUGUCUCUAUUAAAAAUACAAACAGAAGAAGAAAAAGAAGAAAAAGAAGAGGAAGAGGAAGAGAAAGAGAAUGAUGGCAAUGAUAAUAGCAACUAACAUUUAUUGAGCACUUACAAAAUGCCACAAUUUUAGUCUAAGCAUGUAGCAUGUCUUAUUUCAGUCAAUCUUCACAAUAAGACUUGGGAGAGAGGUACUAUUAUUACUCUUAUUUACAAGUUCCUUUAUUGGGGCUUGGGUAUGGAAACAACUUGCUCAAGAACUCAUAGCUAAUAACUGGCAGAGCUUGGGUUCAAGCCCCAGUUUAUCUAAUUCCAGAUCCUCUUACUUCUUCUUCAUGGGAAAGAAGUGGUGACAAGGAAUGGACCAAAGAGUGCCUUCCUAAAAGUAUUCAUUUUUCACAAGAGUGAUAAAAAGGAGACCCCACAAAGAAAGCAAGCCGAGCCUUGAAAGGCAGCUUUGGAAAAUUAACUUCCAUCUUCCCAGGCAAGCAACCUCCUUCAUCUAUUUAUUUUUUUUCCCCAUAGAACAGAAUAAUGUAUACCACUCAUCAUUACUCUUCCUGACAGCAGAAGAUUACAUGCUGGACUUGACUGAGUUUCUGUCAAGGAGAAUUUAUUGCAAUUUCAAAGAUGGUUCUUAAAAGGC